ACCAUGUAAUUGUCUAAUGUGAUUAUAUUUGUGCUUCUUUUUCAUCUGGGUACAAUCCUAAGUUCAGAAGUGUAAUGAAGAACCUUGCCUCAUGUGGGUUUCUGUUAAAUCAGAACAUCAUAAGAUUUUAAAAGCAUGCUGGAAUAGGGCUGUGCUUUGGAUUUAGGGUGAGCAAAAGUUUGAUGACACACCAACAUUUUGGUUGUUGCUGAGCAGGACUUGCACUAAGACAAAGGAUUUCUCAGCUUCUCAUGCUGCCAGUGAGGAGUCUGGGGAUGCACGAGGAACUGGAAGAGGAUACAACCAGGACAGAUGACCCUGACUGACCAGAGGGAUAUUCCUUACCACAUGGCAUCAUGCUGAACAACAAAACUGGAUGGAAUUGGCUGGGGAUGGUGGCACCUUGCUCAGGGACUGAAACUCAGCAGAGAAACUGAAGACCCACUGUUUCUGUGCCCUUCCUGAAGACCAAAGGAAGAACAGAGCAAUCCCUCUGUGAGCUCUGACAUCAGUUAAAGGGGGAAAAAAGUGCUUUCAAGUAAGAGAAAUGAGAAUGCCUCAUUAAAAAAAAAAAAAAAAAAAAAAAAAAAAAAAA